GAAGGAGAGUUCAGCUCAGAGCCAGCAUGGGAAGGAUGCAUAACCUAGAUAUUGUGUUGCUCUUCCAUUGAAACAGAGUUUCCUGCAACCCAGGCUAGCCUCAAAGUCACUGAGUAGUGGAGGAAGACCUUGAACUCCUUCCUCCUGCUUCUGCCUCCUGGGUGCCGGGAUUGCAGGUGUCCUUCAACAGACAGAUGAAACAAGCCUACGUGUGGGUCAGCUGGGGAAGACAUCAGGAGCAGGUGCUCUCAGGAAUCUAACCCUGAAUUUCCCAGGGGAAAAUGACACACACACACAGUGACUUCUGUGCUUUGCACCCGAGACAGGAUCACCCUUCAUACCUGCAAGAGACAGAAGGAGCAGAAACCUUGGCACAGUAAAAACACUACAGUCCCUGGACACUAGUUGACUUUGAUCCACAGCCCUAAAGGCAGAACUCGUCAGAUUUGCUUGAUAUGGUCCUAUGCACGUAGGAAAGUUCAUGUGUGUUCAGAGUCAAGGCUGCGGCGAGGUCAUAAUUCAGCACAGGUGCUCUUCCUGCCUCAAGCCCCCACUGCAAGUCAA
rnacentral:lncRNA from 1 species